AAAUGCUGUUAUUAUAUCUUUAUGAAAUUCUACCUUUCUGGGUUAUUUUGACAUUUUCCUUUUGCGUCACGGCACCUAUUUCGAAUACUUGUGCAACUUAAGGACCGGGAUUUCCUUAUUCAAAGGAAAGCUAUGUUCCUCGAAGAAUCGUUGGAUCUUCAUUUGCCAAGAAUGUCUUCAUUAAUCAAGAACGAAAGUCAGAGGUUCGAAGGCGAUUAGAUACCGCCCUAGUUCUGACCGUAAACUAUGCCAUCUAGCGAUCUCUUCCACUUGCAGCGAUCGCGUUGAAAAUUUCAGGACUUAAACU
rnacentral:ncRNA from 1 species